rnacentral:rRNA from 1 species
GGAUUAGUGGCGAACGGGUGANNNNCNCGUGGGCAAUCUGCCCUUCACUCUGGGACAAGCCCUGGAAACGGGGUCUAAUACCGGAUAACACCUGCCCGGGCAUCUGGGUGGGUUAAAAGCUCCGGCGGUGAAGGAUGAGCCCGCGGCCUAUCAGCUUGUUGGUGAGGUAGUGGCUCACCAAGGCGACGACGGGUAGCCGGCCUGAGAGGGCGACCGGCCACACUGGGACUGAGACACGGCCCAGACUCAUACGGGAGGCAGCAGUGGGGAAUAUUGCACAAUGGGCGAAAGCCUGAUGCAGCGACGCCGCGUGAGGGAUGACGGCCUUCGGGUUGUAAACCUCUUUCAGCAGGGAAGAAGCGAAAGUGACGGUACCUGCAGAAGAAGCGCCGGCUAACUACGUGCCAGCAGCCGCGGUAAUACGUAGGGCGCAAGCGUUGUCCGGAAUUAUUGGGCGUAAAGAGCUCGUAGGCGGCUUGUCACGUCGGGUGUGAAAGCCCGGGGCUUAACCCCGGGUCUGCAUUCGAUACGGGCUAGCUAGAGUGUGGUAGGGGAGAUCGGAAUUCCUGGUGUAGCGGUGAAAUGCGCAGAUAUCAGGAGGAACACCGGUGGCGAAGGCGGAUCUCUGGGCCAUUACUGACGCUGAGGAGCGAAAGCGUGGGGAGCGAACAGGAUUAGAUACCCUGGUAGUCCACGCCGUAANCGGUGGGAACUAGGUGUUGGCGACAUUCCACGUCGUCGGUGCCGCAGCUAACGCAUUAAGUUCCCCGCCUGGGGAGUACGGCCGCAAGGCUAAAACUCAANGGAAUUGACGGGGGCCCGCACAAGCAGCGGAGCAUGUGGCUUAAUUCGACGCAACGCGAAGAACCUUACCAAGGCUUGACAUACACCGGAAACGGCCAGAGAUGGUCNCCCCC